rnacentral:lncRNA from 1 species
CUUUGAAUGUGGCGUGUGGGAUCUCUGGCGGGUCAUCGUCACAGAGCUCUGCAAAGCAAAAGAAGCCUAUUAGGAACUCAAGAGGCCCCAGGAGUUCUGUAUGCAGCUGAAGGGUAACAUCCCUUGGGAGCUUUUGCCUUGUCUGGCUGACGCCUUGGCAAUCGCAAGUGACAGUGACGGAGAGCCACCUCCUCUGGAAUGCAUCAUGGAACAGGUCUGGGAGAACAGAGGGUGCAGAAAGGGAAAAGCCAGGCAUUUGUAGUCCUCCUGCCACAGAUGACCAGAAUGACCUCACCCAGGACAAACGGCGACAGAUUUAGGAAUUCAAGCCAGCUUUUCUGACUCCCAGGCACCUGCUCUCUCCUUUCGAGUGUUCGACUCCACUCUCAGUCACUCGUCACUCUUCCCAGAAGGACAAAUGUGCAGCUUCUAUGUCUUGGAUUUCAAAUAAAAGACGAGGAACUUGGUGAAAUGAGGUGG